UUUCGCAAUGCCCGAAAGGGUGACGAAGCGACGCCGCGUGCGGGAAGAAGGCCUUCGGGUUGUAAACCGCUGUCGGGAGUUAAGAAAUGCAAGGGUGUUAACAGCAUCCUUGCUUGGCUAAGGCUCCGGAGGAAGCCACGGCUAACUCUGUGCCAGCAGCCGCGGUAAUACAGAGGCGGCAAGCGUUGUUCGGAAUUAUUGGGCGUAAAGAGCACGUAGGCGGCUGUGUAAGUCGGUUGUGAAAGCCUUCCGCUCAACGGGAGAACGGCAUCCGAUACUGCAUGGCUUGAGUGCGGGAGGGGAGAGUGGAACUUCUGGUGGAGCGGUGAAAUGCGUAGAUAUCAGAAGGAACACCGGCGGCGAAGGCGACUCUCUGGCCCGUAACUGACGCUGAGUGUGCGAAAGCUAGGGGAGCAAACGGGAUUAGAUACCCCGGUAGUCCUAGCCGUAAACGAUGGGCACUAAGUAGAGGGGUUUU
rnacentral:rRNA from 1 species